rnacentral:rRNA from 1 species
UACAGAGGGGGCAAGCGUUGUUCGGAAUUACUGGGCGUAAAGGGCGCGUAGGCGGCCUGCUAAGUCGAACGUGAAAUCCCUGGGCUCAACCCAGGAACUGCGUCCGAUACUGGUUGGCUUGAAUCCGGGAGAGGGAUGUGGAAUUCCCGGUGUAGCGGUGAAAUGCGCGGAUAUCAGGAGGAACACCGAUGGCGAAGGCAGGUCUCUGGGCCACUACUGACGCUGAGAAGCGAAAGCAUGGGGAGCGAACAGG